rnacentral:rRNA from 1 species
GUGGGGAAUUUUGGACAAUGGGCGCAAGCCUGAUCCAGCAAUGCCGCGUGCAGGAAGAAGGCCUUCGGGUUGUAAACUGCUUUUGUACGGAACGAAAAGGCUCUGGUUAAUACCUGGGGCUCAUGACGGUACCGUAAGAAUAAGCACCGGCUAACUACGUGCCAGCAGCCGCGGUACUACGUAGGGUGCGAGCGUUAAUCGGAAUUACUGGGCGUAAAGCGUGCGCAGGCGGUGCUGUAAGACAGGCGUGAAAUCCCCGGGCUCAACCUGGGAAUUGCGCUUGGGACUGCAGUGCUGGAGUGCGGCAGAGGGGGAUGGAAUUCCGCGUGUAGCAGUGAAAUGCGUAGAUAUGCGGGGGAACACCGAUGGCGAAGGCAAUCCCCUGGGCCUGCACUGACGCUCAUGCACGAAAGCGUGGGGAGCAAACAGGAUUAGAUACCCGUGUAGUCC